rnacentral:rRNA from 1 species
UAGUCCACGCUGUAAACGAUGUCAACUAGCCGUUGGAGGGGUAAUCCCUUUAGUGGCGUAGCUAACGCGCUAAGUUGACCGCCUGGGGAGUACGGUCGCAAGAUUAAAACUCAAAUGAAUUGACGGGGGCCCGCACAAGCGGUGGAGCAUGUGGUUUAAUUCGACGCAACGCGAAGAACCUUACCUGGUCUUGACAUCCUGCGAACUUUCUAGAGAUAGAUUGGUGCCUUCGGGAACGUAGUGACAGGUGCUGCAUGGCUGUCGUCAGCUCGUGUCGUGAGAUGUUGGGUUAAGUCCCGUAACGAGCGCAACCCUUGUCCUUAUUUGCCAUCAUUCAGUUGGGCACUCUAAGGGGACCGCCGGUGACAAACCGGAGGAAGGUGGGGAUGACGUCAAGUCAUCAUGGCCCUGAUGACCAGGGCUACACACGUACUACAAUGGGCAGUACAGAGGGUCGCCAACCCGCGAGGGGGAGCGUAAUCCCAGAAAGCUGUUCGUAGUCCGGAUUGGAGUCUGC